AGCAGCCCAGGAGCUGCUGUGCCCUUUGUCUCCUGGAAAGGGAGGAAUGACUCCUCAGCUUCCCCUUAUAUUAUGCCAGCUACCUACUUGAAGGAAGAAAAGGAGCAGAGGAAAGAGCAUUAACUAGGACCGUCUUGGAGCAUUCCAAGAAGAUGUGCUAUGGGAAACCUCCAUGUUUCUGAAGUGGCAGCUGGAGACCAGACAAAAUACUCCAGCAUUCUCACAAAAGUACUUGUAAUGGGAUGCAACUGAAUCCCAUUCCUGGGCACAGGUUUGGACAUCUAUGGAAUUAAGCAAGCAUCUAGAGGCUGGUACUGUUGGACUUCUGAACGUGAACUGCCCAGUCCCACACCAGCCCAUCAGAGUGGGAGAAAUAAGUUUCUGAAUAAUCCUACCUGAUACCCUGCUUACUCCCAAUGCCCAAAUGGAUCCUAUGCUGCAACUUCUUGGAUGGAACAAAAAUUUCCUGCUAAUUAACACAUCUCUGCCUUACUCCAGUCUACCGACCAUUCUAGCUAAUCAGCCCUGUGUGUUUCUGAGGAACCUGCAGCACUCCUGCCCUUCCAAGUGCUGCCUCGUACUGCACGCCAAGCAUUCACAACUGGACAGUGCUGAUUGCUUUAACAAGUCUGAAAAAUAACAGAAGAAAAAUUGCUCUUGCAGUAAAACCACAAGGAAAAGCCUCUAGGACAAGGCAUGAAAAUAUACAGUUCCGUUCCUGUUGCACCUGCAAUUUCAAUACCUAUUUCUGGUUCCCUGUGUAAAAGCAAAUAAGAAAUACAAUGAAUCCUUAUAUAAUUUUGUGUGUCGUACUCUGUGUUACCCAUUUAAAUUGCCAAUUAAGGGGACUAUUCGCAUGAGCAAAAGUGUGAUGUGGCCUACUAUGUAAUGCUGGUACAUACUUCAUAAUUGAAGAAAAGAAAGAAGUAUUUUGGGUUUUCCUUCUCAUUCUUUUGAGUCCAGAUAUGUUAUCACAGCUACACAUGGGGUAGAAUAUGCCUCAGUGUCUUCAAGCAUAUUUAAUAUCUUUAAAUUUUUAAAUGAAAAUGUAGCUGUCAAUUUUAAACUAAUUUGGAUGGACAGCAAUAAAAUGCAAACCUCACUUCAAAUUAGAAUUUUCAGUGAGGAUUUCUAAUGGAAAGUAAUUGCUGACAAUAGGAAAUGACAAAUUACUAAUUACUUAGUUCAAUUAGACUUUUGUGCCUUUGGUCCUAAGUGGCAAGCAUACAGCAAAUCUUGCACUUUUAUAACAAUUAAUGACUCUAAAACUAUUUAAACUGCCAACAGAUGUGAGUAAGAAGACAUGACUUGAAACUUACUUAAUUUACAUACUAUCUCAAUUUUAUAUCAAGUAAAUGGUGUUUAAUUUUUAUGUUACAAUUAAAUAUCACUGGCAUAGUGUAAUUUCUACAGAACUUAGAAUAAAAUAGUU